CUUUAAUGAUCUGCAAAUUGAUUUAUAGUCGAAAAACGGAAACAUCAUUGCCUACUCAGUAAGACUACUGGGAUAUUAUGGUUCAGGUUUAUGUUUUUUAUGUUCGGUGGAUUUACUUUUGAAGGCCUAAAUAAUAUUAUUGUAGUUUCAAAAAACAUUCAGGGAGGAUAUAGUUCUGCAGCCUCGCAAGCAUCAACAGCUGCCAUCUGCCUCCGUGUUAACUGCUGGGAAUGCUGACCUCUGCCGGCACUAAGGUUGUCCAAACCUGAUCAAAUCCUGAGUGGCACACUCACGAUCCUCCAGGAUGCUAAAUUUUUCUUCCGUCGAAAGAGAGUCGGACCAAAAUGCAGCGUGCUUCAGCCCUGAGCCUCUCACCGAGAGACAGCUUUGAUGUGGCCCCGCUGGGCCGCCGCCCCCCCUGUGCCCUGAUUGGUGGAUGGCUGGCGGGGCGAUGUGGGAGUGGAUGGGAGAUGAAAGCGCACGGGGCAGCGAGGGGGCACCUGCACACAGAGCCUGGCCUGUGUGGAUCCUUCAUCUUCAACCGCUUCCCCUGACCGCCGGCUGAACUCCCGUGUCAGCGACCAUCACACGGUCGCUGUGACCUCUCCAUCUCUGCCUGCCUCGUUCUCUCUAUUCACUCGGUCUGUCUCUCUCUCUCUACUCACUCAAUCGCUCUGUCUGCAUCUCUUAUUCCUUCUCCGUCUUUCUCUCCAACUCUCUCUCUUUCCAUAUAAGUGUAUUGUGAGAGUGUAGUUGUCAGUUGACAGGUGUAGUAUGUGCUGUGUAUUCAGCUGCAAUAUACAAGGUGAAACAAUAUGUUGCAAGGAUAUUGAUGUCUGUGCCUCUGGAAUUGAAGUGGUCUUUGUAGAAGUGAUCCCAGCAUGUGCUCUGAACAAAAUGAAUACAUUGCCAAUAUUACAGUUAUAAAGCAUGUACUUUGUGUUGGAUCUUCAUCUAAUUUCAUGUCAUACUAAUAUUCCAGGAACACAGAAAUCAGUUUCACUGUAAGGGUGUGGUAAUGAAAAUUGUAAUGACAAUUUUAAAUAUUUUACAUAUUAAGACAAUAUCCAUUUGAUGUGAAGCAGAUGAAAAUUUGCCAACAUCUGUCAAGUUUCAGCUGUAGGGCUGAUUGAUUUGCCACUCUUGACCUCUGUGUGAAUUUGAUUAACCAUAAAAUGGUGCAUUAUGUCACCCCUAUUAGGACCAUUUAGUAUUGCCAGAAGGUCAGAGCAAAAAAUACCUCUUUUUCACUUUUAUUGAGAUGUCUCAGCAAUAAGGGCACUGUUUCAGUACAGCUGUAUGCCAAGAAGGCGCAAUCAGCUACAAUGAACUCCUCUGUGCCAUCACAUUUCAGACGUUUCACUGUGUCCAAAAGAAGAUGUGAUGCGAUUUCUUACAAAUAAAACAAAUAAAAAGAAGAAGAAGAAAAAAGGAAUGUUGCCGGUUGAUAAACUGAAAUAAAUGAUUUUAGUUUGAGUAACAUGAUUAUAAAUUCAUUUUGGUUUAUCAUGUUUACAUAAGCUUGGAUUCAGUAUUUUGGAUGUGAAUAAAAAAUGAUCACAUUUUAA
ensembl:lncRNA